rnacentral:rRNA from 18 species
AAGCACUGUUUCGGUGCGGGCUGGUAAUUCGGUACCAAAUCGAGGCAAACUCUGAAUACUACGUGCAUAGCUAACCAGUAAGACUGUGGGGGAUAAGCUCCAUUGUCAAGAGGGAAACAGCCCAGACCACCAGUUAAGGCCCCUAAAUGAUUACUAAGUGAUAAAGGAGGUGGGAAGACUUAGACAACCAGGAGGUUUGCUUAGAAGCAGCAAUCCUUUAAAGAGUGCGUAAUAGC